GCAAGAUUAAAACUCAAAGGAAUAGACGGGGACCCGCACAAGUGGUGGAGCAUGUGGUUUAAUUCGAAGAUACGCGAAGAACCUUACCUAGCCUUGACAUAUAAUGGAAUACACCAGAGAUGGAGUAGUGCCUUCGGGAGCCAUAAUACAGGUGCUGCACGGCUGUCGUCAGCUCGUGUCGUGAGAUGUUGGGUUAAGUCCCGCAACGAGCGCAACCCUCGUGUCUAGUUACUAACAGUUCGGCUGAGGACUCUAGACAGACUGCCUUCGUAAGGAGGAGGAAGGUGGGGACGACGUCAAGUCAUCAUGGCCCUUACGGCUAGGGCGACACACGUGCUACAAUGGAUAGGACAAUGAGACGCAAUAUCGCGAGAUGGAGCAAAUCUAUAAACCUAUUCUCAGUUCGGAUUGUAGUCUGCAACUCGACUACAUGAAGCUGGAAUCACUAGUAAUCGUAGAUCAGCCAUGCUACGGUGAAUACGUUCCCGGGUCUUGUACUCACCGCCCGUCACACCAUGGGAGUUGAUUUCACCCGAAGCGGGGAAGCUAAAUCGGCUACCCUCCACGGUGGAAUUAGCGACUGGGGUGAAGUCGUAACAAGGUA
rnacentral:rRNA from 1 species